rnacentral:antisense_RNA from 1 species
AUAUACGCCACCGAAUUAAAGAACCUUGAAUACUAAAAGAAGAAAUGCACCUAGACCUAACAAAAUUAAGCUAAUACUUAAAAUUGUAGUCAUUUUAUUUCUCUCUUUCCA